AGUGAACGCUGGCGGUAGGCCUAACACAUGCAAGUCGAACGGCAGCACAGUAAGAGCUUGCUCUUACGGGUGGCGAGUGGCGGACGGGUGAGGAAUACAUCGGAAUCUACUUUUUCGUGGGGGAUAACGUAGGUAAACUUACGCUAAUACCGCAUACGACCUACGGGUGAAAGCAGGGGAUCUUCGGACCUUGCGCGAUUGAAUGAGCCGAUGUCGGAUUAGCUAGUUGGCGGGGUAAAGGCCCACCAAGGCGACGAUCCGUAGCUGGUCUGAGAGGAUGAUCAGCCACACUGGAACUGAGACACGGUCCAGACUACUACGGGAGGCAGCAGUGGGGAAUAUUGGACAAUGGGCGCAAGCCUGAUACAGCCAUACCGCGUGGGUGAAGAAGGCCUUCGGGUUGUAAAGACCUUUUGUUGGGAAAGAAAAGCAGCAGGUUAAUACCCCGCUGUUCUGACGGUAACCAAAGAAUAAGCACCGGCUAACUUCGUG
rnacentral:rRNA from 1 species